rnacentral:misc_RNA from 1 species
AUAGGAGUCGGGGUUUGGGUUCAGCUCACUUCACCUUUUGCCCUUUGUGGUAUCAACGCUCCUCAUUUCUCAACUCCUCAGCUAAAUAAUCAAACAAAUAUACGUUUGAAUUUGGAGAAAUCCGGUUGUGGAAUCGGAAGCAAUAGAGGAUGGGUUCGGCGAUGAAAGCAAUCUACACCGUUGGAUUCUGGAUCCGUGAGACAGGCCAAGCCCUUGAUCGGUUGGGCUGCCGCCUCCAGGGAAACUAUUACUUCCAAGAACACCUCUCGAGGCAUAGAACUUU